rnacentral:rRNA from 1 species
GAUGAACGCUGGCGGCGUGCCUAAUACAUGCAAGUCGAGCGAACGGACGAGAAGCUUGCUCCUCUGAUGUUAGCGGCGGACGGGUGAGUAACACGUGGAUAACCUACCUAUAAGACUGGGAUAACUUCGGGAAACCGGAGCUAAUACCGGAUAAUAUUUUGAACCGCAUGGUUCAAAAGUGAAAGACGGUCUUGCUGUCACUUAUAGAUGGAUCCGCGCUGCAUUAGCUAGUUGGUAAGGUAACGGCUUACCAAGGCAACGAUGCAUAGCCGACCUGAGAGGAUGGUCGGCCACACUGGAACUGAGACACGGUCCAGACUCCUACGGGAGGCAGCAGUAGGGAAUCUUCCGCAAUGGGCGAAAGCCUGACGGAGCAACGCCGCGUGAGUGAUGAAGGUCUUCGGAUCGUAAAACUCUGUUAUUAGGGAAGAACAUAUGUGUAAGUAACUGUGCACAUCUUGACGGUACCUAAUCAGAAAGCCACGGCUAACUACGUG